UCUCUUGGUCACGCUUAAUAACGCUUUGGCUGUUGCAGCAAUAUUGGGUUUUUACACAGGAUGGCGCAAAGGAUGAGUCUUCUUCGUCUUUUCAGCACAAACAGUGCCUCAAGGUGAUCUCAUGUUCUGCAACACCGCACCAGUGUCCCUAAAAUGUUGCCCAUCAUUCCAGGCACUGCCCCAUUGCAAAGUAGUUUGCACUUCAUAUGUGUGGGACAGUCCUCACCCGUCUUGAGGAAGGCUGCAAGAAGCCGCACAUCCAGCCUUUUGGGAACCUUUCCACACACCCAGGCUGUUCUCCCCUGCAUUACGCUGCACAGACACUCUACAGAUCUUAUCUCCAGACUGCCAAAGGAGCUUGCAGAUAUACAGGUGCAGCACAGGAGUUGUCACAUGCUCAUUGACACACAUCAUGAAGUGUAUAAAAGCCCUAAAUCAGG